rnacentral:rRNA from 1 species
AUUGAACGCUGGCGGCAGGCCUAACACAUGCAAGUCGAACGGGUGGCGGACGGGUGGGUAAUGUAUGGGCAUCUGCGUGGUAGAGGGGGAUGACGGCCGGAAACGGGCGCUAAUACCGCAUACUAUCAGAUGAGCCUAGGUGGGAUUAGCUAGUUGGGGGGGUAAAGGCCGACCAAGGCGACGAUCCGUAACUGGUCUGAGAGGAUGAUCAGUCACACUGGAACGGAGACACGGUCCAGACUCCUACGGGAGGCAGCAGUGGGGAAUAUUCGACAAUGGGCGCAAGCCUGAUGCAGCCAUGCCGCGUGUGUGAAGAAGGCCUUCGGUGUGUAAAGUACUUUCAGUGGGGAUGCAUGACCCGCAGAAGAAGCACCGGCUAACUCCGUGCCAGCAGCCGCGGUAAUUC